rnacentral:rRNA from 1 species
AAUCUUGGGCAAUGGGCGAAAGCCUGACCCAGCGACGCCGCGUGGGGGAAGAAGGCCUUCGGGUCGUAAACCCCUGUUCUGGAGGAAGAACUUCAGAUAGGUGAACAGCCUAUCUGAACUGACGGUACUCCAGGAGAAAGCCACGGCUAACUGCGUGCCAGCAGCCGCGGUAAUA